GAUGAACGCUGGCGGCGUGCCUAAUACAUGCAAGUAGAACGCUGAAGGAGGAGCUUGCUCUUCUGGAUGAGUUGCGAACGGGUGAGUAACGCGUAGGUAACCUGCCUGGUAGCGGGGGAUAACUAUUGGAAACGAUAGCUAAUACCGCAUGACAACAGUUAUUGCAUGAUAACUGUUUAAAAGGGGCAACUGCUCCACUACCAGAUGGACCUGCGUUGUAUUAGCUAGUUGGUGAGGUAACGGCUCACCAAGGCGACGAUACAUAGCCGACCUGAGAGGGUGAUCGGCCACACUGGGACUGGGACACGGCCCAGAAUCCUACGGGAGGCAGCAGGAGGGAAUCUUCGGCAAUGGACGGAAGUCUGACCGAGCAACGCCGCGUGAGUGAAGAAGGGUGUCGGAUCGGAAAGCUCUGUUGUAAGAGAAGAACGAGUGUGAGAGUGGAAAGUUCACACUGUGACGGUAUCUUACCAGAAAGGGACGGCUAACUACGUG
rnacentral:rRNA from 1 species